UAUGCAAAAUCAAGUAUGCCAGUGUCCUGGAUGGGAGGCAGCAACUCAUGUUUGCAUCUGUAAUUUCAUGUGUCCUUAAAGUAUGGCAGUAUAGUAUUUUGAGUUGAAAAGAAGAUCCUAAUGAAAUAGCUGGGUAGUAAUUUUGGGAAGUACGGAGUACAUAUUAACUGAGUAGAGAGAUUUUUCAAAUUUUUUUUUGCAUUAGGAUUAGGGUGAGCAUUUCAUUGUUAAUGUUUUUUAUUUAAUUUUCUAGUAACAAAUGCUACCUGUUGCCUCCUGAAUUUUGUCCUUUCAGCCUCCUGAGGUGUAAGCAGAAAAACCAAGUGCUUAUCUUCAUUGUGAUUCUUGGCUUGUGCUUCCAAAUAAAAUUAGUUCCCAAAGAGCUAAAGCAACAUAUGGAGUAUAUCUGGGAAUCUAAGAGUGUAAAAGUUGAAAUUUGGAAAGGAAGACCAGGAGAGGAGAUUGGACUUGUCUUCUUGUGAUCUUUGAAAGUUAGGUCUUGCACAGAUCACUUAAUCUGUCUUAGUUCUGCCAAUAAAGAAAACAUCUUACCUUCAAUCAUCAAGAUGUAUACAAAAUAGGGGUAUUUGAACAAGAACUUGCCUUCUGUGUAUUUAAACUGUCUGGUACAGGGAGCACCAAUAUCACACAGUUCGUGUAUCACUGAACUCUUCCUUUGUAAUGCUGUCCUCAUUUAGAAGCACUGAGGAAAGAAUUUCACAGAACUUGGUGGUGGCAGAGGGGUAAGGCUGCUUAUAUGCUAUAUUCCCUUUUCAAAAUGAUCCUUAACGUAGUGAUCCCUUAGUUUUCUAAUGUGUUGCCCUUGGUAUUUUUUAUGUGUGUGGUCAUCCUUGUUUUGUUUUUUUUUUAAAUCACAGCAUGUUAAGUGAAAAUUGCUAGCGUGGUGUUGAAGUGCUUUUCAAAGCCCCAGGUCCUUUGGGACAAAAGGACAUGGUUGUGGCUACAUCCAUCCUUUCUUGUUUGAACAAUUUCAGUGUUGUGAUAGUUAUUGAUACCUGAGAUAUUCAGGUAGUUUUGUUCUAGAAGGUAGAUUUAGUCUCAUAAUCUCUCAUGUCAAAUCUUUUAGUAACAAGCCUGGUUUCUGAAGUACCAUUGACUUGUAAUGGUCUUAACUGAUUAAUGCUCUUGUUGCUAUGUUUUAAAUGUAACUUUUAAAUUCCAGUGUGUAUCUGUGACUUUCAUUGAGGUCAGUGGGAGUUGAAGGACAGAAUUCAGGCCUAUGGGAAUUUGGGCCUAAUAUUGCUUUUUUUUUAAGAGUUAGUAAAAUGAUAUACACGACAUAUACAAACACAACAGCGUUCAUGUAUUUCUGUAGUUAAAACAUGUCUCUUCCCUACUUAACCAUCCAACGAUAAUGAUUUUCUAUCCUAAUGAGCAUGGCUGAGAUAUUGUUAUGCAUAUUGGCAGAAGCUUUUGUCAGAUUGUGAAGAUUGCCUUUAAAUGUUUUUAUAAUGAGUUUAAUGAAUUUCUUUCUCCACAGUAUAUAGUUGAUGCUGAAAUUCUCUGCAGCUGUGGAUUUUCAUGUUUAGAUUUGUAAAUACCUGUUGUGCCACUUUGUUUGCAAAACAACUGUUGUUUGCUGGUAGAAUUAAAAUUGGUAUAUGAUUUUAUAGAAAGAGUAUCUUUUUAUGUUGAUCUGAUCUGACUCCUGUUAUGUGGUUUCGCUUAAUGUAGCCUACAUUUAUCUUCCAGGCUAGUAUUCUAUCCCUUUAUAUUUAAGAAUAAAAUUAAAUGUAUCCAAUACUUUUUAUUGAAAUCUGAGAGCCAAACUGUUUGAAAGCUGUUUUGCAUGCAUCCCUUGAGCAGUGAAUAUCAAACGGGCGUGUUGUGGCUGUGUGUGUUGCUACAAAAAACUAUUGGCUGUUGUGGUUUUGACAAGCAAAAUAAAAAUUAUAAGAGCGUG